CUUGGUUAUACCGUCUGAAACACUGCAUAACAGUAGCGCUAUUGUGGCGAGACAAGUUGGCUCAAGCGAAAAGUCGAGUGAGAGAAUGGCAAGGGCGUCGGGAGAGAGAGUAGCAGAAACCACCACUCCCAGGGCGGCUACCGCAUCCAGAAGGAAGAUCUUGGGAAGAUUCAUAAGACAGCCAACGAAGGCAACGUUGAUUUAGUCCGAAACAUUCUCUGUUUUGGAAUAAAUGGACUAAACGACAGAGAUAGACAGCGCAGCACUAUUACAAUAGCAGUGUAUGAAGAACUCCUCUAGUGGCUUAAGUAAUGGCAGUGUAUCCUUAAGACGGAAUGAUAAGUGAUCACUGAAGGUGGGUGGCCUAGAUUAAAAAAUAAACACAGAGAUGCAGAACUGUGCUUUAGUUGAUCAUUAAGUGAAGAGAAAAAUCAGUUUGUAUGUAUACACAAGCAGACUAUGGUUUUAUGUAAGCCAAAAAAUGUAAAA